rnacentral:sRNA from 1 species
CUUUUUUUUAACCUUGAACUCUCUCAGAUGGCGGCUCCAGCUUUCGAACCUGGCAGGCAGUCAGAUCUCUUGGUGAAGUUGAAUCGACUCUUGGAAAGAUGUCUAAGAAAUUCGAAGUGUAUAGACACUGAGUCUCUCUGUGUUGUUGCUGGUGAAAAGGUUUGGCAAAUACGUGUAGACCUACAUUUAUUAAAUCAUGAUGGAAAUAUUAUUGAUGCUGCCAGCAUUGCUGCAAUCGUGGCCUUAUGUCAUUUUCGAAGACCUGAUGUCUCUGUCCAAGGAGAUGAAGUAACACUGUAUACACCUGAAGAGCGUGAUCCUGUACCAUUAAGUAUCCACCACAUGCCCAUUUGUGUCAGUUUUGCCUUUUUCCAGCAAGGUGACCCAAAUCUGUAGGCUCAGACCUUUAUUCUCUGUUGACUUUAUUGAUGCCAUCUUUUAAAAAUUCAUUACCCAAGAAAUGGUUCUGAGAUGCAGUAAAAUCGCUGGUGUGAAAGUAGCAGAAAUUACAGAGCUAAUAUUGAAAGCUUUGGAGAAUGACCAAAAAGUAAGGAAAGAAGGUGGAAAGUUUGGUUUUGCAGAGUCUAUAGCAAAUCAAAGGAUCACAGCAUU